rnacentral:SRP_RNA from 2 species
UAUCUGGGUCUCACGCAAUAGGAAUCCAUGAACCGUGUCAGGUUGGGAACAAAGCAGCACUAAGUGGAACCUUCUAUGUGCCGUGAGGGUGCCUGGGUUGAGU